UACGUAGGGUGCGAGCGUUGUCCGGAAUUAUUGGGCGUAAAGAGCUCGUAGGCGGUCUGUCGCGUCGGAUGUGAAAACUCGGGGCUCAACCCCGAGCCUGCAUUCGAUACGGGCAGACUAGAGUUCGGUAGGGGAGACUGGAAUUCCUGGUGUAGCGGUGAAAUGCGCAGAUAUCAGGAGGAACACCGGUGGCGAAGACGGGUCUCUGGGCCGAUACUGACGCUGAGGAGCGAAAGCGUGGGGAGCGAACAGG
rnacentral:rRNA from 1 species